rnacentral:lncRNA from 1 species
GUGACUGAGAGGAGCAAUAAAGCCAGGAGCAGGCUGUGGGAAGAGGGAGUGGCUUCCCUCAGAAGAGGCGCCGCCUCCCUAGCAGUGAGCAAAUGUGUUUAGGAACAUGUUCUUCCUCCCAAUCCAGAGACGGAUUGCUGAGAUGAUUCCUGCUUUCCGGCUCCCCGACACCCGCUGUUCUUUAGAUCCGCUCAGCGGCGCUUUUUCCUGUGCCACGUGCCCAGAUCUGAGCGAGGCUUGGGAAGACGCGAACGGGCUGUAAAAUCUGUCCCCAGAACUGGAGAGUAAGAAUGAGCGGUGUGGGGCUGAGCUGAGUCCAGGGAGUGCGAGAAUUUAGCAGUCGUGCUGUGCCUGGGCAUUUCAGACUGUGCCACAGCCGGGCCUGCCUGUUCCGCAAUGUGGCUGAGGAAGGGAGCCAAAAACGCUGCUGCAGGGCUGGCUGUGGGCAGUGGCAGGAAGCAAACAGAGGCUCUCUGGCGACUUCUCUCCCCUGGAGGCCCUCCUCCCUCUACUUCUAGCCCCACUGCUGUGGGACAGUUGCAUCCUGGGGCUUUCUGUGGCUCUCCCAUCAGUGCCCUGGGGCUGGCAUAUGCGACACCUCCUCUGCCUAGGGCAUUCAGGCAUUCUUCAGUACUUGGCACUUUGGCAAAGGAGUGUGAGUUUUGGGGAAGCUCAAGGAAGAGGUACCAGGUAGAGAGAGGGCCAGGGCUGAGUUCACGGGCUCUUUCUAAAUGGAAAUGUCUCACAUUCAGCUGUUGUCUGCCUUUGAGUCACACAGAACCACUUGCAGGAAGAACUCUAGAGAAUUUGGGAAGAAAGGGGGAGAGGACAGACAAAAGAUGCAUUUUUCUUUCAAGAAGCAGGAAAAUGUAAGGAAAAUUGAAGGUGUUCUCAAGUGUGUCUGCUGCUGCCUGACACAGGUUAACCCCGUCGCAGGUCACUCCGCUCUGUUAAUUGCAUCCUAACCUUCCUCGGCUCUUCGGCAGCGAAAUCGCAGCAGAGGAGAUGGAGCAGCUUCGUGCGCAUUGCUCAUUUGCGCCAACGUGAAAAGAACUGCCAGGAUGCCCAGGACACCAGCUCCCUGGCUUCUGCGGUGCUUGCACAGUCCUGAAUCAGCCCGAGAGCUGUGGAUCUGCGUCCCCUGGCUGCAUAGCCGACUGCCGGCUCCAUGGAGGGGCCUGUGCCGGAGAACGCACAUGUUGACUUAUUUCUUCAGUCUAGGCCUUUCUUGGCCCCCUUGGUUAUUCAUUCUAGAUGAUACAACUCUUAUUUCAGUUCAAAUGUCUCACGGAAGAGGCAUUGAAGACAGAGUGGAUGCCCGUGUUUGUUGGCAGUAGGUAGUAUUUACCACUCCGGUUGUAGUAAAAGAACAAAAGGAGAAAUUACACCUAUUUCUCAUAUUUAAGGGAAAAGCAAUUAAAUCACCAAAGUCAG